GAUGAACGCUGGCGGCGUGCCUAAUACAUGCAAGUCGAGCGAACGGACGAGAAGCUUGCUUCUCUGAUGUUAGCGGCGGACGGGUGAGUAACACGUGGAUAACCUACCUAUAAGACUGGGAUAACUUCGGGAAACCGGAGCUAAUACCGGAUAAUAUUUUGAACCGCAUGGUUCAAAAGUGAAAGACGGUCUUGCUGUUACUUAUAGAUUGAUCCGCGCUGCAUUAGCUAGUUGGUAAGGUAACGGCUUACCAAGGCAACGAUGCAUAGCCGACCUGAGAGGGUGAUCGGCCACACUGGAACUGAGACACGGUCCAGACUCCUACGGGAGGCAGCAGUAGGGAAUCUUCCGCAAUGGGCGAAAGCCUGACGGAGCAACGCCGCGUGAGUGAUGAAGGUCUUCGGAUCGUAAAACUCUGUUAUUAGGGAAGAACAUAUGUGUAAGUAACUGUGCACAUCUUGACGGUACCUAAUCAGAAAGCCACGGCUAACUACGUG
rnacentral:rRNA from 1 species